CUAGCAGUAUCAGAGUUUGAUCCUGGCUCAGAUUGAACGCUGGCGGCAGGCCUAACACAUGCAAGUCGAGCGGAUGACGGGAGCUUGCUCCUUGAUUCAGCGGCGGACGGGUGAGUAAUGCCUAGGAAUCUGCCUGGUAGUGGGGGACAACGUUUCGAAAGGAACGCUAAUACCGCAUACGUCCUACGGGAGAAAGCAGGGGACCUUCGGGCCUUGCGCUAUCAGAUGAGCCUAGGUCGGAUUAGCUAGUUGGUGGGGUAAUGGCUCACCAAGGCGACGAUCCGUAACUGGUCUGAGAGGAUGAUCAGUCACACUGGAACUGAGACACGGUCCAG
rnacentral:rRNA from 1 species